rnacentral:rRNA from 1 species
ACGAACGCUGGCGGCAUGCCUAACACCUGCAAGUCGAACGAGACCUUCGGGUCUAGUGGCGCACGGGUGCGUAACGCGUGGGAACCUGCCCUUAGGUUCGGAAUAACUCCCCGAAAGGGGUGCUAAUACCGGAUAAUGUCUUCGGACCAAAGAUUUAUCGCCUUUGGAUGGGCCCGCGUUGGAUUAGCUAGUUGGUAGGGUAAAAGCCUACCAAGGCGACGAUCCAUAGCUGGUCUGAGAGGAUGAUCAGCCACACUGGGACUGAGACACGGCCCAGACUCCUACGGGAGGCACCAGGGGGAAUAUUGGACAAUGGGCGAAAGCCUGAUCCAGCAAUGCCGCGUGAGUGAUGAAGGCCUUAGGGUUGUAAAGCUCUUUUACCCGGGAUGAUAAUGACAGUACCGGGAGAAUAAGCUCCGGCUAACUCCGUG